rnacentral:tmRNA from 1 species
GGGGGCGUACAUGGUUUCGACGGGGAUCGUGGAUGCCGGAUAAGCGAGUCGAAGCCCCGAGCUUCGUUAAAAGCGGGAAACUUUUAAACAUAAACGACGAAUAUAAUUUCGCACCCGUCGCCGCUUAAUCGGUGACCGUCCGCCCGCAGUUGCCCACGACUGCGGCCCCGGGCGUCAUUAAAGUGGGGAACCAGCCGCGGCCCGUUCCGCCCGCGGUGGGAUCAAGGAACUACUAAAGCUUGGAUCCUGUCGGCAGGAGCCUGGCGGAGGGAACGUUAAAAUACCGACUACGCUCGUAGAAAGUCUUGUAGACAGUUUUUCGGACAGGGGUUCGAUUCCCCUCGCCUCCACCA